ensembl:lncRNA
GAUUUUAGAAGUGAGGUGCUGGGUGUUUCUGAGGUAUCCUUGACUGCCACAGCAGCAUCUGUCUUCUCAAGCAAGGAGGAAAGGGCCUCGCCCGCACUUCCAUCAGUGUUUGUUUCAGAGCAGAGUGCCCCUCAGCUCUACCUGUGUGUGACCACAACUUCAGUAUUUGUGUCUCCAAAGGAGAGGGUGUCGUCUAGAACUCAGUUCUUCUACAGAAGGCUGCUGCUUCCAGCUCUCUGUAAGCAGGAUCGGUGCGACUCCAGGGAUGACGUUCUGUGUGGAAGGUGCAGUGUGUCCACAGGUUUACGCCACUUGUUAGAAAGCCUUCAGAUCCAAGAAUCAGGCAGAGAGUUUUAAUAUAAUAAAACUUAAAUACAGACCUAUUGUGCAAAGAAUGCUGCGUUUUGACUUCUUCAUGUUAUUUAUUUACUGAGUGUUCCUUAUAAUAACCUGGUCUAGAACAGUGCUGUAACAAAAAGGAGAAAGGAAACUUAAUGCAUGCUCUAUGCCUACUGAGGGAUUUUAUAUCUUGUUUUGACCUCCCCAAACUGAGUAACUGUCUUCAUUUAAUGAAGAGCAGGCUUGGAGAGAAGGGGUUGCCCAGUCUCACAUUAUCUGGUAAGUGUUUGAGCUUUUUAAUCCUGAAAUAAUUGAAAACAUAAUUGCAUUCAACUAUAAUUUUUCCUUUCUUGUUUUGGGACUGGGAGGGGGCUUCUUUCUCUAACAGAAACAAAACGAGAAUAGUGGGCAUGUAGGAAGAUCUCAUGGUGGCACAAAAGACAGUGAUAAAUGGAUAUCCCUACUUUAUUCUGAUAUCCUGGUAUAACUUACAUAGGUUAAUCUUUUGGGGAUGAAAAAGUUGACUGUAUGUUCUCAGAAGAAAGCAUCAUCAUCAAAUGUCAGUUGGCCAAGAAAGCCCUGGCCUGCUGAAUGAACCAGGAUUGGCUUGUGACCUCUGAUGCAUUCUGCUACUCAGUUCUUCCCAUUAUCUGUGAACAGUAGGACAAACCUUUGAAUUUGGCCACCACCUGAAGGAAAGCGAGAGCUGCUGGUGUGCAGUUCAGUGGCAACAUAGGACCAGUGAGUGAUGACGUCCAGCCUGAUGACAAGGACCCAUGACUGCCAUGCACGGCUACUCUUGGCCCAGGAACGUGGAAGCUACCAUUCAUAAGUCUAUAACAAGAUGACUGAAAGCUGCAGGUAAUUUCCAAUUCAUCGCAGCCCACUGGGUCCCAGAGUGAUAUCCCUGGCUCUUGUAAGUUCUGUGCAAAUGUCGCAUAGUCUUUAAUAGCAUCAAGUAGGGGUAUUAAUGUUUAUCACCUUGCAGGCUACUUUUGUAAAGUUAAAUUGAUAUCCACGCUUCCUCAGCCCAGUGUUAGAAUUAGGUAGGCAUUCACUCCUAUAGAGCAGUUGUAUGCUAUGAUUCCCACUAGCAUCAUAUACUGGUGUGCAAUUUACUUUUUGCACUUAACGUUAUAGAGAACUUUAAGAAUAAGCACACAUCUUUUUAGUCAUUUUUGGCUUCAUGUAUAACUUCUCCCAUUAAUGGAUAUUUGGAUUAUUCUCAUAUUUACUGUUAUGAGCAGUAUUGUAAACAUAUAUUUUUGUACAUAUUUUUAUAUUUUAUUUCCAUGGGAGGAAUUAACAGAUGUGAGUUUGCUCGAAAAUGUAAAAGAUAAAGUUAAAUUUUCUAAGAUCUGUGUUAAUUCCUACUUGAAGUAAUGUGAAUCUAGCUAAUGCUAUAGAGGGUAUCAUCAAUCUUGGUCUUUGCCAAGGUAAUAGUAGAGCAGAAUGAUCAAAUUAUUUUAAUUGUUGAAGGGUUGAUUAUUAUUUAAAACCUUUAUUGGUAGUUUGUGUUCUUUUCCUGUGAGUUACCUGUUCAUGUUGUUUGUUUUUAUAAUUUAGGAUAUUGAUCUUUUUACAUAUUGGUUCAGCAGAUUCACAGGAUUUUCCAUGUAUUAUGGAUAUUAACCCCCUGUUCUGUGAUGUAUUAUUUUCCCCAGUGUUUGGAGUUGCUAUAUAUGGUAAGUUUUUUUUUUUUCUCUUAACCAUUUAGUAAAGUGUAAGGUGCAGUGCUCAAGUAUGGAAUCUGUGGAGACUUUAUCAUUCUAAAGAGAUUAGCGUGGUAUUAGGUUUGGGGAUAUAUAUACAUAUAUGACUUCCCUUGUGGCUCAGAUAGUAAAGCAUCUGCCUGCAGUGCAGGAGACCCGGGUUCAAUUCUGGGUCGAGAGAUCCCCUGGAGAAGGAUAUGGCAACCCACUCCAGUAUUCUUGCCUGGAAGAUUCCAUGGACUGAGAAGACUGGUAGGCUACAGUCCAUGGGGUCACAAAGAG